rnacentral:rRNA from 1 species
CCCUUAGAUGUCCUGGGCUGCACGCGCGCUACACUGAUGUGUCCAGUAAGCACCUAACCUCUUCCGAAAGGAACGGGUAACCUUUGCAAAGCACAUCGUGAUGGGGAUAGAUUAUUGCAAUUAUUAGUCUUGAACGAGGAAUUCCUAGUAAGCACAAGUCAUUAGCUUGUGUUGAUUACGUCCCUGCCCUUUGUACACACCGCCCGUCGCUCCUACCGAUUGAAUGUUCCGGUGAGCUCUUCGGACUGCGCGGUCUGCAGUUUCUGCGUUCCGUGCGGAAAGUUGCGCAAACCUUAACAUUUAGAGGAAGGAGAAGUCGUAACA